rnacentral:tRNA from 1 species
GGGACAGUAGCUCAGUGGUAGAGUGCUUGCCUUGCAUGCAUGAGGUCGUGGGUUCGAAUCCUCAGUACUA